CAGGGAUUGCCCUAGUAACGGCGAGUGAAGCGGCAACAGCUCAAAUUUGAAAUCUGGCCCUCGGGUCCGAAUUGUAAUUUGUAGAGGAUGCUUUUGGUGCGGUGCCUUCCGAGUUCCCUGGAACGGGACGCCAGAGAGGGUGAGAGCCCCGUACGGUUGGACACCUACCCUAUAUAUAGCUCCUUCGACGAGUCGAGUAGUUUGGGAAUGCUGCUCUAAAUGGGAGGUAAAUUUCUUCUAAAGCUAAAUACCGGCCAGAGACCGAUAGCGCACAAGUAGAGUGAUCGAAAGAUGAAAAGCACUUUGAAAAGAGGGUUAAAUAGCACGUGAAAUUGUUGAAAGGGAAGCGUUUGUGACCAGACUUUUUCCUAGUGGAUCAUCCGGUGUUCUCACCGGUGCACUUCACUGGGUUUAGGCCAGCAUCGGUUUCCGGAGGGGGACAAAAGCAUGGGGAAUGUGGCUCUUUCGGGAGUGUUAUAGCCCCUAGCAUAAUACCUCUCCUGGGGACCGAGGACCGCGCUUCGGCAAGGAUGCUGGCGUAAUGGUUAUCAACGACCCGUCUUGAAACACGGACCAAGGAGUCGAACAUUUGUGCGAGUGUUUGGGUAUUAAACCCUCACGCGUAAUGAAAGUGAACGGAGGUGAGAGCCCUUCGGGGUGCAUCAUCGACCGAUCCUGAUGUCUUCGGAUGGAUUUGAGUAAGAGCAUAACUGUUCGGACCCGAAAGAUGGUGAACUAUGCGUGGAUAGGGUGAAGCCAGAGGAAACUCUGGUGGAGGCUCGCAGCGGUUCUGACGUGCAAAUCGAUCGUCAAAUCUGCGCAUGGGGGCGAAAGACUA
rnacentral:rRNA from 1 species